CAGUAUCACAAAACCUGACUCAUAGCCACCGCACCGGAGGAAAUCAGUUGUUGAGUUGAUUGGUUCGCAGGUAGACCCACGUUACCUGUUCUCGUGCUCCGCAUUGACACCGUUUUGUGAAUAUUUUGACGUUUUACAUCCUAGUCCAGUGUGUUGAACUUGUCUAUGUGCAAUAUUUGUUGUUUCUGUUCGGUUUUCUUGUGGAAUUUUCACCUGUGAAACUACUGUAUUCUUGCUGAUAGUCUUCAAAUUUAUUCAUCGUUAGAUACCUUGUCCUUAACGGGUUUUGAACAUGACGAUCCAGUAGCCCAGCAACGAUGCCAACAUUAUGGGAGUCAAGCUUCAGUUACUGCUAGGAUUACUUUUGUUGAGUUCAACAUGCCGCUCCGAAAGCAACAACACAGCCACCCAAGAUAUUUCUUCAGAGAAAUUGGAUAGCACAAAGAAUCUAAUAGAAAAAUUACCAAAGACUGAUACCCAAACAAAUUUAGUUAGAAAAGAUACUCAAAAUGCUUCUGGUGAUAGUUCCAAAUACGCGAAGUAUCCUGUAGAGGAUGAUACUCUCAAAAACCAAACUCUUCUCCAAGAAGAAAUGAAUCAUGGCAGCGACAACGACGGAAAGGGAAGACAAGAUAAUUCCAGAGCGAUAGAUAUAAAUAAGUUUCCUUCUGCAGAUGUCCAAAAUAACGAAUAUAGCGGAUCAGAUAAUCAGAAGUUCUUGGAUAAUUCAAUUCGUAAAACUUCUACCAAAGUUUUCUCAGAUUUCAACUUUCAGCUAACUACACCGAGAACUAAAUAUUUCGAUACAAAAUAUGAAGAAGCUAGACAAAAACUUGAACAAGAAUACGAAGAGAAUAAUCCAGAACACUCUGACGAUCACCACAUGGAUAUCACUCAAGAAGUGGAAGAAGAUGACCGUGAACAUGAUCUCCACAUGGAUCGACUUUUUGGCAGUGUCAGAAAUAACCCCAAUUCCUCUAUAGAUUACAAAGAAAAGACUAAGAUCUCUCGUAACAAUACCGUAGAUGAUAAUUCAGAGCACAAUGAAAUUAGAGUUGAGAAACAUCAAACGCUCAAUUUUGCUUCCGAGUACAAUGUUACAACGUCCGAAGAAGACGAUUCAGGAAAGAGAGAUUCUUUCCAUGAAACAACGUCUCCAAAAGCCUUCCUUACUACAAGAAAAACUAUGGCAUUAACCAAGCCACCUACCACACAUAACAACCAUAUUCUUAGCAACAAAAUUGAAUCAGAAACCAUUAAGGCAAUAAAUUUGUUAACAACAGAAGAUCCAACUACAAAAAGACUGACAGACGAGAACGAUAUCGUCCCAAAAGAACAAAGUGUAGAAGAAAAUAAAAUAAUACCCAUAGAGGCUAACUAUUCGCAAAAAACAACUACAGAACAUGUAGUAAAUGUUACAAAUAGUAGAGAACAAAUUGAAACAAGUACGGGGAAAUUGGAUAAAGAACCUUCUGUAUACCGUGAGUCACCCACAACAGACAAUUACGAUCAAACUACAGUAAAUGAUGAUAUAAAUGUUAAAGAAGAAACCACUAUGGACGAUCAAGUUAGACUUCAAUCAACUACUGUUCAAAUUCCUGAAGAAACAUCAACAAUUGUUAAAGACACUACUACAGAUAACAUUGAAGAAACAACAUAUCGCAUGAGCGAACCAACAACAAAUAAAGGAAGAAUGGUAACAACAAAUGUUGAUCUGUAUUCAACAGAUGUUCCUGUUACAGAAACAACUACAUCAGAAACUGCCACUAAAGAAGCUAUUCUACCUUUUGAAACUACCUCAACACUCUUACCCAAAGACGAAACAACUACCAUUGUUCUUUCAACAGAAGUAGAUAUUGAUACUUCAACUGUUGUUGUCACAGAAGCGACAAAUAAAAUAGAAAUGGAAACAACUACUACAGAGACUAUAACCGAUGAACAAACUACUCAAGAAACCACUACUAAAGAUAUGGAAAGUACCGCAACUGAACAUGGUAAUAGAGUUUCAAAAUCGUUUAUUUUUGAAAACACUACUGUUUCGGAAAGUACGGAAUCAAGUGUAGAUGAUAAACUAUUUUCAACGACGAUACUCGAUGAAAGUAAAACAACAGAAAAACUUACUACUGGACAACAUGAAACCCUGGCUGAUACAAGUACUGAAAUGAAAACUGAGCCAGAAAGAACAACAGAAGUAUCUACUGAGUCAGUACAUGAAACAACUGUUUUCGAAGAAGUGACUACUGAAAAUUAUGUAAAAGUGAAAAGUGUGUUUACAGUGCCUACAAUGCAGACUACUACAACUGUGUUGCCAGAGAUCUCAAGCGCUAGUACGAAAUCCAUUUCGACUGCUUCAACUACCAGUUCACCUACGCCUCCAAGUGUUUUAACAGAGAUCUCAAGCAGCACCAGUUCAACACUAUUUUCAACCGCUUCUACUACUAGUCCAACUACAACUUCAACUACAAGAUCUUCAACUUCCAUCACGACUGGGUCUUAUAUACCAACAGUCAAAUUUAGGAAUAACUCUAAUGAUUUAGGUGGAACCACUGUGACCACUUCUCCUCUUGUUACUUCCAGUACUGAAGACUACGUUUCUGAUUCAUCCCCUGCUCCUGAUGGUGAAAGCAGUGGCAGGGAUGAUAAUACGGGAAAAAUUGCAGCUAUAGUGAUAUCAACAGUGGGAGCUGUAUCGCUCAUAUUGUUGGCUGGACUUUUGUAUAUUAUGAGGAAGAGACAAAAACGGUUCAACUAUAAACAAAGAUGCAGACCAGUAAGCUUGGACCAUUACAAUGUGGAUAAUGUUUCCAGUUUUAAUAGCCAAAGAAGGAAAGCUGAAAGACAGUCGAAGAGAUCAUACGGAAAUCCAGCUUUCGAUGAUCCAGCUGGCGUUACCCAUCCAUUGAAUUUCCCAGCGUUGGCCAAAUUUGCUACGAACGCUGAUGAUAUCAAAGCAGAAUUCUCUGAAAUACCUCAAAUCACAGCUAAAAUAAGCGAACUACCGGAUGGAUGCGAGACCAAAAAUAGAUACGCCAACGUGAUCCCGCUUCCAGAGACAAGGGUCUAUUUGCAACCCAUCGAUGGAUAUCCUACCAGUGACUACAUCAAUGCCAAUUAUGUAACGGGUCCGAAGAACACAAAAGGGUACUAUAUAGCUUGCCAAGGCCCUCUGCAGAACACAGUGGACGAUUUUUGGAGAAUGAUUUGGGAACAGCAAACCAAAGUUAUCCUAAUGAUCACACAUCUCUUCGAAAAUGGAGUGGAAAAAUGUGUUGAUUAUUUGCCACCUUCAGAAGUCCUGGAUUGUAACAGACUCUUCGGAGAUUUCCAGGUCACUUUAAAAAAGCGGGAUGUUAAGGAUAAAUACAUAAUAUCCAAUCUUCAGUUAAAAAAUAUGGUUUCAAACAGUUGGAGAGAGGUUACCCAUUUCUGGUAUCUAGGUUGGCCAGAGAAAGGAGUACCAUCAGAAGAAAAUUCUCUAAUAGCUUUUCUAAUAGAAGCUAGAAGCUAUAUGAAAUCAUCAACUUUGGAUAAGACCGCUGCUGCUAACGGCAACACCAACGGUCCACCAAAGCUUGAAGUGAAUCCUGUGGUGGUUCACUGUAGCCCAGGAACGGGCAGGACAGGAGUGGUGAUUGCGUGUGAUAUAGCAAUUAGGGAGUUUGAGCAGACGAGGCUUGUAGAUAUCCCCAAAAUAGUGUAUAGGAUAAGGAGGGACCGGGCUAGCGCUGUCCAGACCAAGGAACAGUAUACGUUUAUCUAUAGGGUGGUCAGUCUAUAUGCUACAAAGCUGACAGGUGGAGCCUUAGAGUCCUUGUAAUACUGUAAUGUAUAUGUUAAAGAAGAUAAUAUAUGAGUCAGUUUCAUCUCUACAUUUGAAAGUAUAAUUUUGGUUCAAGUGUUCAAGCAUACAUUUUAUUUUGUUGUACUGCUAGUACUAUGGCUUCCAUUUAUUGAUUUCUACAAAAGUUAGGAAAGUCGUAUUAGUUAGGUUUAUGAUUUUUUGAAAUAUUCUUGAGAGCUCGAAAAUUUUAAUUUUUGAAGGGGAAUCCUGGCGAAUAACGCAAAUGUCUCAGUCUUAGAUUUAGAUUAGAGUAUAACACUGUGGUAUAACUCUGUGCAAUAAAUGUAAUUUGCGUCAUUGUCCUCUUCUUCUUCUGAACUGUUGUCUCUCUUCUUUCUAUCUAUCUUUCUUUUCUUGUCUUUUCAUUUUUAGUGAAAUUUAACAUUUAUUAUUUUUGUGUUUUCCUGCUUUUUGGUUAUCUUUCAAGUUUAAAUUGAGCUUUUUUCUUUUUAAUGGGCUACUUCUCGAUACAUGCCUCGAGUUCUUCUUUAUAAGGUGUCGAAGCACAGCCGUUUCCCUCUUCUUUUAUUUUCAGCAUUAAUGUUGUGUGGAUUGUGCAACAAUUUUGUGCAACUCUCCCCUAUAACCUCAGUCGAUUGAAAUGGUGAAUUAAAUGUGUGGACAUGGGUUUGAUUAUGAAACUUCCUUAGAGACAUAAUUGACUCAUAUUAUUUCUUCUUGCUAUAAUUGUUAAUCUAUUUUUGUGAUACCUAGUGAAAAUUGUUAUUUGUAUAUUAUUGUAGAUUUAGUGAAUGUAUUUUGAUGGAAAUAUAUAAAACAUUGUAAAUAACAAGUAUUGUGUAUUUAGUGUACAUGUUCACAAAUAUUUUUGAGAUGAACUAUGUUUCUAUUAGGUACGUAAGUUUUUGUUAAAUAUUGAGCUCUCUAUUUCAAUUUAUAAAAAUAUCGAAAUAA
rnacentral:misc_RNA from 1 species